UGCAACUGGAGUGUGAGGAGACAAUGGGUGAUAUAGAGGGUGCUUUACUUGUGGACAAUGAUGAGAUGGAGGUUGGAGAGCUUGGUAGUGCAUACAAGGAUAUUGAUACAUCUUGAGGGAAUACCUUGAAGAUUUCCCUCACAAGAGGCUUCCAAAGAUGUGGGAAGAGAUGCUGAUUGAGAUGGGCUAAUUAUCUUAUACGUGAUAUGAAGAUAGGAGAAUUCAGUAUAGAGGAGAAGCAAAUGUUCAUUCAACUUCAUGCUUCUCUAGGCAACAGGUAAAAUCACACAAGUGACUUCCCUCUGGAGCUUUGGCUUACCCUUUUCUUUUAAAUGUUAGACAUAUUGGAGCUCAAAGAAAUU
rnacentral:misc_RNA from 1 species